rnacentral:misc_RNA from 1 species
GAUGAAGAACGUAGUGAAAUGCGAUAAGUAAUGCGAAUUGCAGAAUUUCCGUGAGUCAUCGAAUCUUUGAACGCACAUUGCGCCCACUGGUAUUCCGGUGGGCAUGCCUGUUCGAGCGUCAUUAUAACCCCUCAAGCUCAGCUUGGUGUUGGGGCCUGCUGCACUGGCAGCCCUUAAAAUCAGUGGCGGCGCCAUCUGGCUCUAAGCGUAGUAAUUCUUCUCGCUAUGGAGUCCUGGUGGAUGCUUGCCAUCAACCCCCAAUUUUUCUAUGGUUGACCUCGGAUCAGGUAGGGAUACCCGCUGAACUUAAGCAUAUCAUAAGCGGAGGA